rnacentral:rRNA from 1 species
UGGCCUUGACAUAGUAAGAAUCUAAUAGAGAUAUAAGAGUGCUAGUUUACUAGAACUUACAUACAGGUGCUGCACGGCUGUCGUCAGCUCGUGUCGUGAGAUGUUGGGUUAAGUCCCGCAACGAGCGCAACCCUCGCUAAUAGUUAAUAACAGUUCGGCUGAUGACUCUAUUAGGACUGCCUACGCAAGUAGGAGGAAGGUGAGGACGACGUCAAGUCAUCAUGGCCCUUACGGCCAGGGCUACACACGUGCUACAAUGGGGUAUACAAAGAGCCGCAAUACCGCAAGGUGGAGCAAAUCUUUAAAAUAUCUCCCAGUUCGGAUUGAAGUCUGCAACUCGACUUCAUGAAGUUGGAAUCGCUAGUAAUCGUAAAUCAGCAAUGUUACGGUGAAUACGUUCCCGGGUC